GGGGCCAUAGCUCAGCUGGGAGAGCGCCUGCCUUGCACGCAGGAGGUCAGCGGUUCGAUCCAGCUUGGCUCCACCA
rnacentral:tRNA from 1 species